ACGACAGUACUCGCUUGAUGCAUGCUUCGAAUUGGAACAGUGCUCGGGCAACGACUGAUGACGUUUCACGAGUCCACGACGAGCACACACAACUGACGCAAAAGUACGCAAAUUGAGAAACGGCCAUUGGGAAACGCCCAUGCACACACCGCAGCGGCACACUUGCCAAGGAGCCGAGAGCGGACUGAGUUUCCCUACCUGGACGGACCUUGGCCCCAGGACCCGGUCUAGAGAAGACCACGGGACUACACGGAAGGACCACCUCACCUGGAUACCGGGACAGCGCGUGAGAUCCGACCACAGCAUCCCCAGUGGCUCACGGAGCCCAGACUCUCUUUAGUUAUAGUUUGCAUUGACGGCGCUCAUCUCACUCCGUGACAAGAGGCUGCACCACUGAACUACAGGGCCCGACAUAUGGUCAUUUGUAAGGUUCCCAUAAACACUGACCUGAAGCCAGGCGUCUCCCUGAAGGGGCGGUGGGGACUAUUGAGCUUGUGAAGAGGGGGGAGCAGGAGUCACCUCAGAGCAGACUUCAGAAAUAAUGAGCGGAGAGAGGCGAGGUUCACUGAAGAGAGGGAGAAUCAAAAGCUGUGUGCAUUGAAACGCCUCCGGGGGCUGGGAGUGCGGGAGUGUGUUUGUACCAUGUUGCGAAGUGUGUGUGUGUAGUGAGUGAGAGCAUCCUUACCAACGGUUGGGAUUUAUACACGUCUGUUUUCAACAGAACUAUGCUCUGCUACGUUGACAUAUCUGCAGUCGUUUUGACGUCCCGUUUUCAAACAGAUACCCAUCAGAAAUUCUAUGGUUUUCUUUAAUGCUUGAUUUAUCAUUUAAAGUAGCACACCACCUUGAUACUGUGAAAAAGGACAGCACAAUUUUAAAAAUAAUUUUUAUUAACUUUUGUUUUAACCCGACAUUAACAUCGAC
ensembl:lncRNA